rnacentral:lncRNA from 1 species
CUCAAUGCGGAUAUUAAUGCUUGUGGUAAACAAUCAAUAGAAAAAUUCCCCUUUCCUUCCCAAGUCAUGAUGCAGUUAUUCAUUUCAGCCGCUUCAUCAAUUGUCUUCGCCUCUAUAACUACGCACUAAAGAUGAAUAAAGUUGCCGUGUGUAUUUGUGUUGCAUUUGUAUGCAGUGGAACGUUUGCUGUGAACCCGCAUAGUGUUUCUAAUACCACUCUACGGUCGAAGUUUCCAGAUAUUCACUGUACAGAGCCACCCGUACAGGAGCUUUUCAGUCAGCUUGCUCAAAUUUACCAGUUCAAACCAGGUACGACGUCUGAUAUAUCAAAGUACACUGCAAAAAAUGACGACGAAUGUCCAAAAAAUGCAGAUACGUUGUGCCCUUAUCAUUUAGAGAAUAUCGAAGACCCGGAUCGUGUGCCGUCAACCCUCUCGACUGCUCGGUGUCUGUGUAAAUCGUGUCGGGAUGAAUAUCAAGAUUGUGCGGUAGGCCUAGGCUGUACGCCGAUAACGCGAAUUGCCACAGUAUUACGUAAGACUGGACAAUGCAAAUCUGGAGUUUUCCUGUAUAAACCCGUUGAUGAAACCAUACCAGUGGCAUGCACAUGCGCUAAGGGAUCAUCAGGAUGAAUGUUAAUGCUACACAACGUGCUUUGAUAUGAGACUGUGCUUGCCGAACUAUCUAUUAUCCCAAUCCUAAUCAUGUAUGAAAAAAAGUGUGGUAUGAUACAGAAAUAACUCAUACUCUACACAUGAACAUUCCAACUAGAGAUUUACUGCUGUGCGAAAGUGCAAGUUCAAUGAGUACAAACAAAUAAGAACAACUUGACUACCACGGAAUUUCCAUAAUAUAUGCCUACGAAAUAUUUCCAACACAUAAUGUAAGCCGGCCGUUUUUUUCCACGAUGGGUCAUCAGCUUUCGAAAUCGAGUGAUAGAAUCCGACUAAAGGGAGGACAAUUUGUCAGUUACUGCACAUUUUAGAAAGGAGAUCAUGGGAUUCUAAGCCAGUUAGAUCGAUAUUUAAGAUAUCGUUUUUUCAUACAUGCAGCGAUAAUUCGACGAAAUCCCAGCAUUCAAUCAGUAACACCACCGGUAGAUGCUUUUGAUGUUUUUGGGGUUGAUUGUAUUUUUUGUUCGUAUCUAUUAUGUUCUAAUUAGAUUAUCCCAAUAUAAAACUCUCAUGUUUAACUGUUAAUUUCAACGAAAAAAAAUUGUGCCUGUGGCCAUUUCUUGGCAUGUUAUCUUAGGUAAAGCUUUUAGAUACAGUUGUUUAUGGGUAUCAAAUUCUGAAACAAAAAAUGAAUGAUUAACUACACGGUUAAACUAUGGACCUAUUAAUUAUUAAUAGGUCCAUGGCUAAACAAUAUAAAUUGAUCCAUAAACCUGUAGUACGUUAGACACAUAGUAUUAAAGAAUUAUUACUCUUCUUUCAUUAUAUAUUUAUAAUAUAUAUAGUAUAUAUGUAUAUAUAUAGUAUAUAUAUUAUAUAUGCGUAUAUAUAUAUAUAUAGUUUGAUAUGGUAAACAACAAAGUAUACUACGUAGACCUGUCCGAUAUUAUAUAUAUCUAAAUGAUAAUUAUUUAAUUGAACGCUCCAUUAUUUAAUAUAAAAUAUUUAAAUAAAGAUGAUUUUAUAUUUAUGAAGAAAACAUAGUUAUAUAAUUUUGAAGAUUUUGUUAGUUUUGUGCGAACGUAAAAAUGUAGAGGUAUUCCAAUAUCGAUCGAUGCCUUAUUUUGAAUAAAAUAAUCAUUAAAAUGUUAUUGUAGAA